GGGCCCUCUGGGUCCAACCUCCCACCCGUGUUUAUUUUACCUUGUUGCUUCGGCGGGCCCGCCUUAACUGGCCGCCGGGGGGCUUACGCCCCCGGGCCCGCGCCCGCCGAAGACACCCUCGAACUCUGUCUGAAGAUUGUAGUCUGAGUGAAAAUAUAAAUUAUUUAAAACUUUCAACAACGGAUCUCUUGGUUCCGGCAUCGAUGAAGAACGCAGCGAAAUGCGAUACGUAAUGUGAAUUGCAAAUUCAGUGAAUCAUCGAGUCUUUGAACGCACAUUGCGCCCCCUGGUAUUCCGGGGGGCAUGCCUGUCCGAGCGUCAUUGCUGCCCUCAAGCACGGCUUGUGUGUUGGGCCCCGUCCUCCGAUCCCGGGGGACGGGCCCGAAAGGCAGCGGCGGCACCGCGUCCGGUCCUCGAGCGUAUGGGGCUUUGUCACCCGCUCUGUAGGCCCGGCCGGCGCUUGCCGAUCAACCCGAAUUUUUAUCCAGGUUGACCUCGGAUCAGGUAGGGAUACCCGCUGAACUUAAGCAUAUCAAUAAGCGGAGGAA
rnacentral:rRNA from 1 species